GAAGAACAAAAAAAAAAAUUUCAUCAUCUCCCUCCUCCUCCUCCUCCGAAGAUUCCGAUCUCUGCACCUUCUCGAACUCAGAUCUCAGUCUUCCUCUGCUUGACCAGCAUUCGCAGAAAGGCAGAGAGAUGGCGGCGUUCAUGGAGCUCGAGGACUCGCCCAUGUUUCACAAGCAGAUCUUUCCACUAGAACGGACAGCGGAGGAGUUGAAAGAGCGUUACCAGAGGCUAUACAGAGGCUCUGCAAAAUUUGUGCCUGUGAAAAGUUUGUGCCUUUGAAGAGGAGUACAAGAGGAGACAUUGUUGCUGAACUAGAAGAGGAUCUACAAAACUCCAAAUCAGCAUUUGAGAGAAGCCGCUUCAAUCUAGUGCGUGCACUCAUGAAUAUUGAAAUGAAAAAGAAGUAUGAAUUUUUGGAAUCUAUAAGUGCAAUCAUGGAUGCGCAUCUGAGAUAUUUCAAGCAGGGUUAUGAGUUAUUGACUCAAUUGGAGCCAUUUAUCCACCAGGUAUUGACAUAGCUCAACAAUCGAAAGAGAUGGCUAAUGUGGAGCAAGACAGACUUGCCAAAAGGAUUCAGGAAUUUCGUACCCAAGCUGAAUUGGACUCCUUAUGUGCUUCAAGUGGUAUUGAAACCCCUGACGUUAGCACGAAUGCUACUGGCACAAAUUCUUACGGAGACAUUGAAACAAUCAUGACAUCUACCAGAGGUGGAGAGUGUGAAUUGUGCGACAGAUUCCCACUCCAAGUUUCUCUGAGAGAACAUCUCUGAAACACCAUUAUACACUUGAGUUAGCUGCUGCUUCAAAGCUUUUGGCAUCUUUCAGAAGGGCCUGAACAAAGGGACUGUUCUACCCAACUACAGAGAAACUUUAUCCUGAGGAUUUUGUCCCUUGUGAUCUUUCUUCACCAUGUUAGCCAAUAAGAAGGAGCAGAUCUAGUGUUAGCAGGGCGAGGAAGAAAACUGUCCACAUUCAUAUUUACUUGUGAAGUAGUCACUCUUCAUGAUCCCUGUAUGAUGUUACUUAUCGAACACUAGAUGAAUAAUUAGAUUUUUCUUAUCUA